rnacentral:rRNA from 1 species
UAGGGAAUCUUCCACAAUGGACGCAAGUCUGAUGGAGCAACGCCGCGUGAGUGAAGAAGGUCUUCGGAUCGUAAAACUCUGUUGUUAGAGAAGAACACGAGUGAGAGUAACUGUUCAUUCGAUGACGGUAACUUACCAGAAAGGGACGGCUAACUACGUGCAG